AGAGUUUGAUCAUGGCUCAGGACGAACGCUGGCGGCGUGCCUAACACAUGCAAGUCGAACGGGACCAGGGGCAACUCUGGUUCAGUGGCGGACGGGUGCGUAACGCGUGAGGAACAUGACUUUCGGCGGGGGAUAGCCGGCCCAACGGCCGGGUAAUACCGCGUACGACCACAUGGGGACAUCCCCGCGUGGUGAAAGCAGCAAUGCACCGAAAGAGUGCCUCGCGGCCUAUCAGCUAGUUGGUGAGGUAACGGCUCACCAAGGCGACGACGGGUAGCUGGUCUGAGAGGAUGGCCAGCCACAUUGGGACUGAGACACGGCCCAGACUCCUACGGGAGGCAGCAGUGGGGAAUAUUGCGCAAUGGGCGAAAGCCUGACGCAGCGACGCCGCGUGUGGGAUGACGGCCUUCGGGUUGUAAACCACUGUCGGGAGGGACGAAUGCGCCGCAAGGCGAGUGACGGUACCUCCAAAGGAAGCACCGGCUAACUCCGUGCCAGCAGCCGCGGUAAUACGGAGGGUGCGAGCGUUGUCCGGAAUCACUGGGCGUAAAGGGCGCGUAGGCGGCCUGAUAAGUAGGGGGUGAAAUCCUGCGGCUUAACCGCAGGGCUGCCUUCUAAACUGUCAGGCUAGAGCACGGUAGAGGCAGAUGGAAUUCCCGGUGUAGCGGUGGAAUGCGUAGAGAUCGGGAAGAACAUCAGUGGCGAAGGCGGUCUGCUGGGCCGUUGCUGACGCUGAGGCGCGACAGCGUGGGGAGCAAACAGGAUUAGAUACCCUAGUAGUCC
rnacentral:rRNA from 1 species